UACGGAGGGUGCAAGCGUUAUCCGGAUUUACUGGGUUUAAAGGGUGCGUAGGUGGGUAAGUAAGUCAGUGGUGAAAUCUCCGGGCUUAACCCGGAAACUGCCAUUGAUACUAUUUAUCUUGAAUACUUUGGAGGUAAGCGGAAUAUGUCAUGUAGCGGUGAAAUGCUUAGAUAUGACAUAGAACACCAAUUGCGAAGGCAGCUCACUACACAAUCAUUGACGCUGAGGCACGAAAGCGUGGGGAUCAAACAGG
rnacentral:rRNA from 1 species